UCGACUCAUCUUCCUCCUCUGUUUUCCUCUGUUUUGCUCUGUUUUUCCUCUGUUUUCUGCACAAAAUCAUAAUAAAAAACCAUUAAUAAAUAAAUAAGACAUAUGAAAAUAUAUUUAAAGAAUAAGAGAAAAAAAAAUAAGAAUAAUAAUAAGAAGAAGUGAUUGAUGAACUCACAAGAUUUUUUUGGUAAUAGAAGGGAAAAGGGUUGGAAGAAAGAACAGAGGAGUGAAUAACAGAGUUGUUGUGAUUGUGAGAAUGGAGGGAGGAUUGAAGGGGGAUUUAUACAAGGGAAAUGAAGGGAAGUGAAUUAAAGGUUAAUUUAAUUGAGAUGGUGUAAGGUGUAGAGAGAGAAAGAAGAGAGAGAGAAGAGGUGUAAAUGAAUUGAAUUGAGUAGAAGAAGAGUGUAAAUUGAGGCCAAGAAAAGUAUUAAUGGUUUGGAAAAAUCCCAAGAAGUAUGCAGGAAUAGGAAAUUUGUAGUAAAUAUUGCAAUUACACAAACUGCA
rnacentral:lncRNA from 1 species